rnacentral:rRNA from 1 species
CAGUAAGGAAUAUUGGGCAAUGGACGCAAGUCUGACCCAGCCAUGCCGCGUGAAGGAUGAAUGUCCUAUGGAUUGUAAACUUCUUUUAUGCAGGAAAAACAUCCCGGUCGUGAACCGGGACUGAUGGUACUGUAUGAAUAAGCAUCGGCUAACUCCGUGCCAGCAGCCGCGGUAAUACGGAGGAUGCAAGCGUUAUCCGGAUUCAUUGGGUUUAAAGGGUGCGCAGGCGGAAUGAUAAGUCAGUGGUGAAAUCUCCCGGCUCAACCGGGAAACUGCCAUUGAUACUGUCAUUCUUGAGUACAGUUGAAGUGGGCGGAAUGUGUCAUGUAGCGGUGAAAUGCUUAGAUAUGACACAGAACACCGAUAGCGAAGGCAGCUCACUAAGCUGUAACUGACGCUCAUGCACGAAAGCGUGGGGAUCAAACAGGAUUAGA